rnacentral:rRNA from 1 species
GCUUGCUUGUUGGGGUUGUAGGACACUCUAUACGGAGUUACAAAGGACGACAUUAGACGAAUCAUCUGGAAAGAUGAAUCAAAGAAGGUAAUAAUCCUGUAGUCGAAAAUGUUGUCUCUCUUGAGUGGAUCCUGAGUACGACGGAGCACGUGAAAUUCCGUCGGAAUCUGGGAGGACCAUCUCCUAAGGCUAAAUACUCUCUAGUGACCGAUAGUGAACCAGUACCGUGAGGGAAAGGUGAAAAGCACCCCGGAAGGGGAGUGAAAUAGAACCUGAAACCGUGUGCUUACAAGUAGUCAGAGCCCGUUAAUGGGUGAUGGCGUGCCUUUUGUAGAAUGAACCGGCGAGUUACGAUUUGAUGCAAGGUUAAGCAGUAAAUGUGGAGCCGUAGCGAAAGCGAGUCUGAAUAGGGCGUUUAGUAUUUGGUCGUAGACCCGAAACCAGGUGAUCUACCCUUGGUCAGGUUGAAGUUCAGGUAACACUGAAUGGAGGACCGAACCGACUUACGUUGAAAAGUGAGCGGAUGAACUGAGGGUAGCGGAGAAAUUCCAAUCGAACCUGGAGAUAGCUGGUUCUCUCCGAAAUAGCUUUAGGGCUAGCCUCAAGUGAUGAUUAUUGGAGGUAGAGCACUGUUUGGACGAGGGGCCCCUCUCGGGUUACCGAAUUCAGACAAACUCCGAAUGCCAAUUAAUUUAACUUGGGAGUCAGAACAUGGGUGAUAAGGUCCGUGUUCGAAAGGGAAACAGCCCAGACCACCAGCUAAGGUCCCAAAAUAUAUGUUAAGUGGAAAAGGAUGUGGCGUUGCCCAGACAACUAGGAUGUUGGCUUAGAAGCAGCCAUCAUUUAAAGAGUGCGUAAUAGCUCACUAGUCGAGUGACACUGCGCCGAAAAUGUACCGGGGCUAAACAUAUUACCGAAGCUGUGGAUUGUCCUUUGGACAAUGGUAGGAGAGCGUUCUAAGGGCGUUGAAGCAUGAUCGUAAGGACAUGUGGAGCGCUUAGAAGUGAGAAUGCCGGUGUGAGUAGCGAAAGACGGGUGAGAAUC